CAACAGGGAUUGCCUCAGUAACGGCGAGUGAAGCGGCAAAAGCUCAAAUUUGAAACCCUCGGGAUUGUAAUUUGAAGAUUUGGCAUUGGAGAAAGCUAACCCAAGUUGCUUGGAAUAGUACGUCAUAGAGGGUGACAACCCCGUCUGGCUAACCGUUCUCCAUGUAUUGCCUUAUCAAAGAGUCGAGUUGUUUGGGAAUGCAGCUCAAAGUGGGUGGUAAACUCCAUCUAAAGCUAAAUACUGGUGAGAGACCGAUAGCGAACAAGUACUGUGAAGGAAAGGUGAAAAGAACUUUGAAAAGAGAGUGAAAUAGUAUGUGAAAUUGUUGAUAGGGAAGGAAAUGAGUGGAGAGUGGCCGAGGUUUCAGCCGCCCCUCGUGGGCGGUGUACUGCCGACGCCGAGUCAUCGAUAGCGAGACGAGGGUUACAAAUGGGA
rnacentral:rRNA from 1 species